rnacentral:rRNA from 1 species
UACUCGCAGUCUGGAGUGGCGUAAGGGUGCGUAACACGUGGGUAAUUUGCCUGGAAGCCCGGGAUAACUCCGAGAAAUCGGAGCUAAUACCGGAUGUGAUCAGGGGUUGGCAUCAACUCCUGCUCAAAGUCGGGGACCGAAAGGCCUGACACUACCAGAUAAGCCCGCGGCCUAUCAGCUAGUUGGCGGGGUAACGGCCCACCAAGGCUAAGACGGGUAGCUGGUCUGAGAGGACGACCAGCCACACUGGAACUGAGACACGGUCCAGACACCUACGGGUGGCAGCAGUCGAGAAUUUUUCACAAUGGGGGAAACCCUGAUGGAGCGACGCCGCGUGGGGGAUGAAUGGCUUCGGCCCGUAAACCCCUGUCAUUUGCGAACAAACCUGGUGGCUGAACAAGCUGCCAGCUGAUAGUAGCAGAAGAGGAAGGGACGGCUAACUCUGUGC